GACGAACGCUGGCGGCGUGCUUAACACAUGCAAGUCGAACGGUGAAGCGCCUUCCUUUUUGGUGGGUGUGGAUGAGUGGCGAACGGGUGAGUAACACGUGAGUAACCUGCCCCCUUCUUCUGGAUAACCGCAUGAAAGUGUGGCUAAUACGGGAUAUUCUGGGUCUGUCGCAUGAUGGGUCUGGGAAAGAUAUUGUUUCGGUGGGGGAUGGGCUCGCGGCCUAUCAGCUUGUUGGUGGGGUGAUGGCCUACCAAGGCGGUGACGGGUAGCCGGCCUGAGAGGGUGGACGGUCACACUGGGACUGAGACGCGGCCCAGACUCCUACGGGAGGCAGCAGUGGGGAAUAUUGCACAAUGGGAGCAAGCCUGAUGCAGCGACGCCGCGUGAGGGAUGGAGGCCUUCGGGUUGUGAACCUCUUUCGCCAGUGAAGCAGGCCUGCCUCGUUUGUGGGUGGGUUGACGGUAGCUGGAGAAGAAGCGCCGGCUAACUACGUG
rnacentral:rRNA from 1 species